rnacentral:rRNA from 1 species
UACGUAGGGUGCGAGCGUUAAUCGGAAUCAUUGGGCGUAAAGCGCGCGUAGGCGGCCCUGUAAGUCCGUUGUGAAAGUCAAAGGCUCAACCUUUGAAAGCCGAUGGAUACUGCAGGGCUAGAGUCCGGAAGAGGCGAGUGGAAUUCCUGGUGUAGCGGUGGAAUGCGCAGAUAUCAGGAGGAACACCAAUAGCGAAGGCAGCUCGCUGGGACGGUACUGACGCUAAGGCGCGAAAGCGUGGGGAGCGAACAGG